UACGUAGGGUGCGAGCGUUAAUCGGAAUUACUGGGCGUAAAGCGUGCGCAGGCGGUUCGUUGUGUCGGCGGUGAAAGCCCCGGGCUUAACCUGGGAAUGGCCGUUGAAACUGGCGAACUGGAGUGUGGCAGAGGGGGGUGGAAUUCCCAGUGUAGCGGUGAAAUGCGUAGAUAUUGGGAGGAACACCAGUGGCGAAGGCGGCUCACUGGACCGGUACUGACGCUGAGGCGCGAAAGCGUGGGGAGCAAACGGG
rnacentral:rRNA from 1 species